rnacentral:rRNA from 1 species
UACAGAGGUCUCAAGCGUUGUUCGGAUUCAUUGGGCGUAAAGCGUGCGCAGGCGGUUCGUUGUGUCCGAUGUGAAAGCCCCGGGCUUAACCUGGGAAUGGCAUUGGAAACUGGCGAGCUUGAGUGCGGCAGAGGGGGGUGGAAUUCCGCGUGUAGCAGUGAAAUGCGUAGAGAUGCGGAGGAACACCGAUGGCGAAGGCAGCCCCCUGGGUCGACACUGACGCUCAGGCACGAAAGCGUGGGGAGCAAACAGG